CCCUUAGAUGUUCUGGGAUGCACGCGCGUUACACUGAUUCGUUCAACGAGUUUAUGACCUUGCCUGAUGAGGUGGGGGAAUCUUUUCAAAUCGCAUCGUGAUGGGGAUAGAGUAUUGUAACUGUUAGUCUUCAACGAGGAAUUCCUAGUAAGUACGUGUCAUCAGCUCGUACUGAUUAUGUCCCUGCCCUUUGUACACACCGCCCGUCGCUCCUACCGAUUGAGUGCUCAGGUGAAUAGUAUGGACUGCAUCAGUGUUCGGUCUCCGAAUGUUGACGCGAGAAAUUCUGUGAAUCUUAUUGCUUAGAGGAAGGUGAAGUCGUAACA
rnacentral:rRNA from 1 species